rnacentral:lncRNA from 1 species
GUGAUGAAGAGGAGGAGGAGGAGGUGAUAGAAGACAGUGAUGAUGGUGAUCAUGGUGAUGAAGAGGAGGAGGAGGUGAUAGAAGACAGUGAUGAUGGUGAUCAUGGUGAUGAGGAGGAGGUGAUAGAAGACAGUGAUGAUGGUGAUCAUGGUGAUGAGGAGGAGGUGAUAGAAGACAGUGAUGAUGGUGGUCAUGGUGAUGAGGAGGAGGUGAUAGAAGACAGUGAUGAUGGUGAUGAGGAGGAGGAGGAGGUGAUAGAAGACAGUGAUGAUGGUGAUCAUGGUGAUGAGGAGGAGGUGAUAGAAGACAGUGAUGAUGGUGAUGAGGAGGAGGACGAGGUGAUAGAAGACAGUGAUGAUGGUGAUGAUGGUGAUGAUGAGGAGGAGGAGGUGAUAGAAGACAGUGAUGAUGGUGAUCAUGGUGAUGAGGAGGAGGUGAUAGAAGACAGCGAUGAUGGUGAUGAUGGUGAUGAGGAGGAGGAGGAGGUGAUAGAAGACAGCGAUGAUGGUGAUGAUGGUGAUGAGGAGGAGGACGAGGUGAUAGAAGACAGUGAUGAUGGUGAUGAUGGUGAUGAUGAGGAGGAGGAGGUGAUAGAAGACAGUGAUGAUGGUGAUGAUGGUGAUGAUGAGGAGGAGGAGGUGAUAGAAGACAGUGAUGAUGGUGAUCAUGGUGAUGAUGAGGAGGAGGAG